UUGACCCUGCGUCCUGGCUCUGCAGAGACGCCACUGACCCGAUCCUGUUGCGCCACAGCGGAAACUCCUCUCACGUCUUUUUAUGGCUUCGGGAGGGAGGGGGUGUUUCACCUCAGGGGCAGACAGCUCAGGAACUGGUUGCAGCAGGAAAUCCGGAACUGCUCACAUGACCCAGCUCUGAUUUCAAACACCAGUUUCCACCCCCAGCUCCUCCCGUCCUCAAAGCCACGCUUUAAUAUUGAAGGUUGUUUUAAAGUAGCGAAUGAAAAGCUCACAGAAGCUGGAAAACAUCGGCCUUUGCGUUAAAAGUAUUUGAGCACCUGGGAAAUUAUGCAAGUUUUUCUCAUUAGAUUAUUGUAAGAUUGUCGUUGGUGUCGGGAGAUUGACUACACCUUUUAAAAUAAAAACAAGUCUCUGCGGUUUGUUUUUCCAGGUGGAUUUUGGUUGCAACCCAGAGCAUUUCCCAAUAACGAGUGUCUCCGCACUUCAGCCAGUUUGAAACAGUGACGGGUACAAAUAACAUAAAGGGUUCAGAGGCUGCACCAACGUUCACAUGUGCCUCUGAGAACCGAUCGUCUUGAUUAUUAGCACCGGACCGUUUGCACGGCCCAGUUUCGGGAGAGGCAGAGAUGGGAAGGACACGUAAAUCUGAAAGCGAUCCCUGGCCUCGCCCCGUGGGUUAGGAUCCGGCAUUGCCACAAGCCGCCGCGUAGGUGGCAGGCUUUGCUUCCCAAUGACGUCAGCAAAUCCAGCCUGGUGGGGCGGGAAGGUCGAGGCGCCGAGGGCCUGUCCUGCUUGGGAGAGAGGUGAUGGUCAACUAAGGCUGCUCGGGCAAUGCGCGGCAAUGCCCGGCUGAGCCGGCCUCCCUGGGCGACGGCCCGGGGCUGGAGCUUUGGGUGGGAGGCCCUGGGAAGCAAGCAGGGCGGGGCCGUGUCACAGGCACGGAGGGGGGCAUCCUGCCUGAGGACCGGGCAUCUCCCAAGCCACUGAAACAUGUUUAUCAACACGGUAGAGAAGCAAAGCGGGGACAGCGACUUCCUACCCACUGGAGGAAAAAGGACUUCCUGUCACAGAGUGAAAUAUCAUUGUGUACCUCCGUUUGGCAAAAUGAUGAACUCCGAUAGUGCCAAGUGUGGGAGAGGAAGCAGCUCAAGCAAUACUGUCUACCUGCUGGUGGGAGUGUAAAUUGUUACCACCACUGUGAAAAUCGAUCGUGUAAAUUUGAACGUGCGCCUACCCUACACUCUGGCUGUUCUCGUCUGAGGAAUCGUUGAGAGAUGCUUGUUGAUGGACAUUUAGGGUGUUUCCCUGUGUUGGCUAUUGUGGAUUGUGCUGCAGUGAACAUGUGAAUGCAUGUAUCUUUUUGAAUUCUAGCUUCGUCUGGAUAUAUGCCUGGGAGUGGGAUUGCUGGGUCUUGUGCGGUGGCUGUAUUUGGCUCCCCUAGGAAGCUCCGUACUGUUCUCCCUGUGGCUGUAGAAAACAAGGUCCUGCCAUAUAGUCCAGGGAAAUAUAUGUAGUCUCCUAGAAUAGACCGUGAUGGAAAAUAAUGUUUAAAAACGUA